rnacentral:rRNA from 1 species
UACGUAGGGGGCAAGCGUUGUCCGGAAUCAUUGGGCGUAAAGCGUGCGUAGGUGGUUUGUUAAGUCUGCUGUGAAAUCCCCGGGCUCAACCUGGGAAUGGCAGUGGAUACUGGCAAGCUAGAGUGCGGUAGAGGGAUGUGGAAUUCCCGGUGUAGCGGUGAAAUGCGUAGAGAUCGGGAGGAACACCAGUGGCGAAGGCGGCAUCCUGGACCAGCACUGACACUCAGGCACGAAAGCGUGGGGAGCAAACAGG